CUUUUAUUUUCUCGUCGUAUUAACACUUUAUCACUUUAUCACUUUAUCAACACUCCCAACAGCAAACAAAUUAAAUUAAACAAGAAGUUGAAAAGAAAAACAGCUCUUUUACGUUACCUUUAAUAUAAAAGCGCAGUGUGUGAGGAGGCUGUAGCAGCGCGCGCUCUGUAGGUCAGCAGCUCUGCUUGACUUUGACACUUCGCGCGUGCACCAAUCAAGAAUAUGCGCGAGGGCUCGGCGACACCUGGGCGCUCCUACGAAGAACACCUCACGCGUCACUGUUACGCAACUUCCGCUCUGAGGCUGUAGUUUUUCCUCACUGCUUGUAAGGCACUGCCUUGUUUCUCAGCGAGAGGAACAUGGGCAAUGUUAUUCAUCACCAUAUUUGGAGAAAUGCCGAGUUUCGGAUAAUAAUCCUAAAAUAUUUAAGGAAUGCGGUUGUCGCGUGAAUUAAGAAACGAGCUUCACGUCAGACCGAAAAGAAAACCGUCAUGGAAGACUUCCACAGAUGUGCAUAUGACGAGCGUCACUGUUCACUGGGGGGAAGAAAAAAACAAACCGAGCAAACAAAAGAAAACUGAAGACAAAUGGAAUGGGUUUGUAUUAUUCGGUGGUGAUGUACACACACGUUCCUAAUCGCAGGAGGAUUAAAACAGGGACGGAGAGUGUGGGUUAUUUCCACUGCUAGAGAUAUUACCGCCGGAGUGAUCGAGACUAAUCUCACCCUGGAUUACGACGUUGCAUUAUUGGGUAAUGAAACUACAAAUACUGGCAUCUUUCUCCAGAGAGCGUUUGGCAGUGACAAAGUGUUUUCAUGUUUUAUAUAUGUAUAUAUAUAUAUAUUUAUAAAAAAAUAAAAAAAAAGAAUCCAAAGCUCCUGCCCCUCUGUCUUUAUUUACUUUAUUAUCUUGAUAUCGGAUUAGAAAACAAAUGCUUUCUGGUGGCAAAAAAAAUUUUGUUCGUUAUUCGGUCAACCCAGCUUCAAAUUUUAGCGAAGUCUGCAAGUGUGUGUGUGUGUGUGUGUUGGGAUGGGGGCGAGGGUAAAAGGUCAGUGGAGAACACUGUGUUUUCGCUUGUUUCUUACGACAAGCUGUAAAAAUGAAAACAUGAAGGAUAUAUACAGCGUGAGUAAAGAGAGCGAGGAAGCGAGAUCUUGUUUGAUGAAUUUACUUCUCAUUUCCCUUCAAAACGUUCUCGGUUCUUAGUGCCGUUUGAGUGCUUCGUUAUUAUGUGAUAAAACACUGCAGUGGAAAUGUUCGCUUCUGAACGCACGACUUAACCAUGAUAUAAUCUAAAAAAUAUUUGUAAAAAAAAACAACCCGGCUGUACCAGAGACAUUAUAUCAUCAUUUAUAUAUAUAUAUAUAUAUAAAAAAAACAAGCAAUUUUAAGAGCUGAUUGCAAAUGUCUGCUUUGAAGCACCAUGUUAAACUGACUUGAGCCAAUUAUUCUGUUCUUCAGUAUUUUACAAAAAGGACUGUCGACUGCUGACGUGGACGGACAGCGGAGUCAUUUACUCUUGACACCUGGCCAUGGGAAAAUAAAACGAACAAACAAACAAAAAAACAAAAACACUGCUGGGUUUGAAUCUAAAACCGCGUUACUCUACCGUCUGCGGUAACCGAAAUGACAUAAACCCUGACUAUUUACACACGUCUCUUUAAAAAAUUACAAUUAAACAUGGCAACGUCUUGAUCAUAGAGAUUGAGACAAAUAUCACAUACUUUUGUUUUCCAACCUCCGGAUUUCUUUAAAAAGAAAAAAAAAGAAAAGAAAAAGAAAAAAGUUCCCAGAAAUAUAAACAAAGAGAUUUUUUUUUUUUCUUGAAAAGAAACAAUUUUUCGAAGCUUUUCGACUUCACUACAAUUUCAAAUGUGACACAUUUUUUUUCAACACACAGAGUUACUGUUACUUUUUCGCCUUUUAACAAAGAAAGGAAGGAAGAAAGAAAGGAAGAAAGGAAGGAAGGAAGAAAACAAAAAAGAGGAACCGAUACAAUGUCUUAUCUAAACACAAAAUAACGACAGUCUACAUGUAAAAAUAUAACUUUUACAUACACGAUUUCAAAAUAAUGGUUUGAAUUUGCAUUUGUUGCAUAAAAUGUACAAAUGUCUGUUUCUGUAGCCAGCCGGCAAGCUGGGCUCUGAUCCUUUUUGUCCUGCAGAGGCUUCCGUACUGUCACGUGACACAUCGGAUCACUAUGGAGUCAUGUCUCACUCUUUUUAAAAUGAACACUGAUGCACA
ensembl:lncRNA